ACGGCUCAGUAACACGUGGACAACCUAACCUGAAGAGGGGGAUAACCCCGGGAAACUGGGGAUAAUACCCCAUAGAUUAUGGAUGCUGGAAUGCUCUGUAGUUGAAAGGUCCGCCGCUUCAGGAUGGGUCUGCGGCCGAUUAGGUUGUUGUUGGGGUAACGGCCCAACAAGCCUGUAAUCGGUACGGGUUGUGGGAGCAAGAGCCCGGAGAUGGAUUCUGAGACACGAAUCCAGGCCCUACGGGGCGCAGCAGGCGCGAAAACUUUACAAUGCGAGCAAUCGUGAUAAGGGAACUCCGAGUGCCUGUAAAAUCAGGCUGUCCGCCAGUGUAAAUAACUGGUGAAGAAAGGGCCGGGCAAGACCGGUGCCAGCCGCCGCGGUAAUACCGGCGGCUCGAGUGGUGGCCACUAUUACUGGGCUUAAAGCGUUCGUAGCUGGUCUGUUAAGUCUCUGGGGAAAUCUUCCGGCUUAACCGAAAGGCGUCUCAGGGAUACUGGCAGACUAGGGACCGGAAGAGGUGAGAGGUACUCCAGGGGUAGGAGUGAAAUCCUGUAAUCCUUGGGGGACCACCUGUGGCGAAGGCGUCUCACCAGGACGGCUCCGACAGUGAGGAACGAAAGCUGGGGGAGCAAACCGGAUUAGAUACCCGGGUAGUCCCAGCUGUAAACGAUGCACGUUAGGUGUAUCGGUGACCACGAGUCACCGAGGUGCCGAAGAGAAAUCGUGAAACGUGCCGCCUGGGAAGUACGGUCGCAAGGCUGAAACUUAAAGGAAUUGGCGGGGGAGCAC
rnacentral:rRNA from 1 species